rnacentral:rRNA from 1 species
AACGUAGGAGACGAACGUUAUCCGGAGUUACUGGGCGUAAAGGGCGUGUAGGCGGUUUGUUAAGUCUGGCGUGAAAGCUCUCGGCUAAACCGGGAGAGGUCGUUGGAUACUGGCGAACUAGAGGAUGGUAGAGGCGUGUGGAAUUCCGGGUGUAGUGGUGAAAUGCGUAGAGAUCCGGAGGAACACCAGAGGCGAAAGCGGCGUCCUGGGGUGAGGUUGACGCUCAGACACGAAAGCAUGGGGAGCGAACGGG